rnacentral:lncRNA from 1 species
GAGCUCCCUGAUGGGAGUAUUCAUGGUUAGAGUCUCAGUCUCUAUUACGGGCCCUAGUACACUUCAGGAACUCAAAAGCUUUGCUGAUAUAAUGCAAGGUGAUAAAAAAGUAGAAAGACUUGGGAUAAUCUUGAUUUCUGAAGGCAUCAAACGGGAAUUAGAGAAAGCAGCAGGAAAAACGAAGGCCUUUUUAAGUUCCAUGAGAACUACGGUUUGCAAGACUGGUCAAAACAGUACAAUGCAAGCGGCAAGAAUCAGGAAGUGCACAGAAACAAGAAGCUCGGUGCACACUGGGAUCAGGCAAGCAUCUGGGAGAAGACUGUAGCAAGACUGGAUCCUGAGCACUGGACUGGGACCAGUUUUCCUAUUCUGCAGGAACAAAGCCAGUUCCCAGAGAUAAAGAGAUGAAUACAUGUACCCUGUGAACAUUGCUCUUCUGAGAAGGAGAAAGGAAGAGACAGGGCUAAGCAUCUCCAAUUCUUCUCAAGAGCACCAAUCAACUGAGUUACUACUUCCUGCCCUCUCUACCGCCACCCUUCCAGGAGUGAGCCAAAAGAUGGAGAGAGGCCACAAGUGUUGCAUUAAUGCAUACCCUUUACGUAAGAGGAAACACCAGGAGCAGGAAAUAUGCAUUUCCCCCAAAUGGGGGAAUUCUCACGGGAUGAGAUAUGGGUCACAGAUAAAUAUAUAUUGCGUCAAAUGGAACCUCUUCAAAUGAACCAUCCUUGAUUUAGCUGACUUUGGUGGAAGUAGCAAAAAGGUUCAGAGCCAAGUUAAGAUAUACAAAUGAAUAUUUCCUUGUUUAUAAAAUAAAUUUAUCAUUAUUUUACUCACAUUCAGUUGGCCCACCAAACUAAUAAAAGACAAAAAUGAAUAAUAUCUGAGAU